AUUCUAAUAUGACGUGCUUCUUUAGCUUUGUAAAGAAACCAUACUUUAUUAUCCAAUAAAAUUAGUUUGCACAUGCGUAUAUUGACUACGGCAGAAAAAUGAAUUUCGUCAAAUUGGUAUGCAUUUAAUGUAUUUCCUUAAAUUAAAACACUUUCAAACAAUAAAAUGAUACACAUUUUGUUACUAAUACUUUUACAAUGGCAACAAUGUGUUACAAUUCGUAAUUGACAUAUUUGACCUAGAUACCACAACGUUCAUGUUGGCUGUUCUAAUUUCAAAACCCCUCCCUCUGAAAAACACGUUUCAUAUCUCCCGUUAAAAAGGCAUGUCAUUGUAUUGUAUAUAAUAAUUUCAUUAAAACAUAUGUUCCGACGAUAAAAUAUAAAAUAAAGUAUAGGUUAUUAUUACUGUUGUACUGAAAUGACAAAAUUGUUUCAUAUUUCUGAUAAAAUGGAUUGACCCUAGCAGGGAAUCGAACCCCAUUCUCCUAUAAAAAAAAAAUAGGCGUAAUUACCAAUAUACCACCAAGGUUUCCAAUCCAUUUUACAAAUGCAACAAGAUUGUCGCCCAGUAUUAGUUUUAAUCAUCAUUUAAUACAACAUUUGAAAUCGUCAGAGGCACAAAGGCGUGCCCUUUGGCUUUGAUCAACUUUACAAGGUGUAGCCACCGCAAGUAUAAAUGGAUCUCUGUCAAAGGGCCCCUCCUGCCAAGUCUCGAAUGUCAGCACAACUUUAUCAAGGAAUCCUCUAUCAGAUAUGAACAUAUUUACCAAUGCUACAAUAUUAACCGGCGGAAUAUUUACGAUUAAUUUAGUAAAUAAAGACCUACCCGAUUCUCCUUGUGCGUCCACCGCCAUUGACAACUGCCUUGAAAAUGUGCGUGUCAGAAAUUGACCUCAAAGGAAAAGACUGUUUUAAUAUAACUUUUCUGUUAUAUUGUGACACAAAUAUUGUUUUAGUUAAUAAAUUAAUUUGUUCAUUUCUGUUUCAAUUUUGAAUUUUAGAAAUACAACUUUGCGAAAUUAAACUGGUUUGAACUAGUUGGAUAAAAAUCGACAGGAAGGUUGAUGGAAGAGCCAAAACAAAUACGGUGCACUUAUACACAGCGAACAUAGAAAUUACCGUAAUUGUCCUAAUCAGAAUCGAAAUAAUUGAUGCCAGC
rnacentral:lncRNA from 1 species